rnacentral:rRNA from 1 species
GAGUCUUCGCUCAAAAGAUGCUAGAGUUAUGCUCUUUAGUUUCGCCCAAGGAUGGGGCCGCGGCCGAUCAGGUUGUUGGUGAGGUAAUGGCUCACCAAGCCUUUUACCGGUGCGGGCCGUGGGAGCGGGAGCCCGGAGAUGGGCACUGAGACAAGGGCCCAGGCCCUACGGGGCGCAGCAGUCGCGAAAACUUUGCAAUAAGCGAAAGCUUGACAGGGCUAUCCCGAGUGCCAUCCGCUGAGGAAGGCUUUUACCCAGUCUAGAACGCUGGGGGAAUAAGGAGAGGGCAAGUCUGGUGUCAGCCGCCGCGGUAAUACCAGCUCUCCGAGUGGUGUGGAUGUUUAUUGGGCCUAAAGCAUCCGUAGCUGGCCAGGUUAGUCCCCUGUUAAAUCCACCGAAUUAAUCGUUGGAUUGCGGGGGAUACUGCUUGGCUAGGGGACGAGAGAGGCAGACGGUAUUUCCGGGGUAGGGGUGAAAUCCUAUAAUCCCGGGAGGACCACCAGUGGCGAAGGCUGUCUGCUAGAACGCGCCCGACGGUGAGGGAUGAAAGCUGGGGGAGCGAACCGGAUUAGAUACCCGGGUAGUCCCAGCUGUAAACGAUGCAGACUAGGUGUUUGGACGGCCACGUGCCGUUCUAGUGCCGCAGGGAAGCUGUUAAGUCUGCCGCCUGGGGAGUACGAUCGCAAGAUUGAAACUUAAAGGAAUUGGCGGGGGAGCACCACAAGGGGUGAAGCUUGCGGUUUAAUUGGAUUCAACGCCGG